UUGAGCGGUAUGAAGGGAAACUUUCACGUACCGUUCUGAGAGGAGAGGGAGCAAGUAAUUGCUCCUUUUUACUCGGC
rnacentral:ncRNA from 2 species